ensembl:lncRNA
GUGAAAAGGUUUACCCAAUAAGCUGAAAACAUAGCUGAAAAUUUGUAGAGGCCUCAAUUCAUCAGGCUGCAUCAGAAGAGAGAGCCGGAUGGGUAGUCAUAGUGAUAGAGAGUUUGCAUUUUCUAUGGUGGCCCUGCACCGCUGGUGACAAAGUACAGGGUGUGGCCAUAGGAGGCACUAAAGUAGACUGGAAGUGAAGACAUUGAGUUUGAAAGGUCGAGAAACUAAGAAGAAGCUGGGCCAGUGAGUGGGUGUUUCACAACGUCAGCAAAAUCUCUCCCCAGAGGAUGAAGAAAUGAGCCAGGCAUUUAACAAAAUCAGCGAGUGGGUUUGGUUGCCCUACAACACGUGGGAUCUUCAUUCCUUGACCAGGGAUGGAACCUGUGAGCCCUGCACUGGAAGGCAGAUCCUUAACCACUGGACCACCAGGGAAGUCCUUGUCCUCUCCUCUUUUAAUCGAAGUUUCUGCAGAAUAGGGCCAUUUUUUUUUUGUUCUUGAUUAUAUAUCUCUCCUCUAAUGUUUGUGAUCUAGACACAGGGACUGAUUUACUGGAUGAAUAACAAUGAAUGACUGAGCGAGUGAAUGGACUUUCAUGUAACAUUGCCCCGUUCCUAGAGCCUAGAAAUGUUGAACUCAGAGGGGUGGCCUCUCUGAUGAGACUUUUCCAUUCUUGACCACUCUUUUCUAUGGUUACUCAUUUCCUGGCCUUGAUUCCAGACAUAGACCAUCUGCCAGGCUAGACAAAUCUAGCUCAUGUGACACCAUAUACUGAUUCUUCCCGGACUGCCUUCCCUGCCUCCUUCUGACACAUGAGCCUCACACAUAAUGACUGUUUUCUCCACCUCCUAAAAUUGAGACCUUUACAACAGGGCUUGAGUCCCCAUUUCCAAAUACUUGGAUUAGGACCAGGAUAAGAUGAGACCAGAGACAGGCUACAGGGGCUUCACCUAUAUAGGUCAGCAGUCCCCAAACCUUUUGUUACCAGGGACCGGUUUUGUGGAAGACAAUUUUUCCAUGGACCUCGGAUUAAAGGCACAGUCAGCCCUCAGUAUUUGUGGGAGAACUGCUUUCAAGCCCCUCUGCCGAUAUCAAAAUCCAUGGAGGCUGGAGUCCCAUCAUUGGCCUCUGUAUUCUCGGACGCAGAACUGGUCAAUACGAGGACCAAUUGUACUCAGCUUUGACUUAGUGGAAUGCCUGCAGGUGGGUCUGAGGACAGGGACAACACUGGCUGAUGGACUCUUGAGGCUAUGAGGAAUUCAAUCACAAUGGUCAGCAGAGAGAGGACAGAGCGGAGAGGAGGACUUCUGGGCUCAGAGCCAAUAUCUGAGACCACAGGCUAUAAGUUCACAAAAGCCUUAUGAAUCUACUGUAUUUACCAGUGAAAAGCCUCAAAAUAUGCAAUUCCCAGCUUAUUAGUUUAUUUGUUGGGUUGUUGUCUGGAACUGGGAACAAGAUAUCCUAUAGAAACAAUAUUACAAAUUGUGUCUCUGCCCCAAGGCCAGUCCACAAAAACGUACAGAACCCUAAUGUACCUAAAUAUUGUACUAAUAAUGCUAAAGGCUCUGGCCACCAU